GGGGAAUAUUGGACAAUGGGCGAAAGCCUGAUCCAGCCAUGCCGCGUGUGUGAAGAAGGUCUUCGGAUUGUAAAGCACUUUAAGUUGGUAGGAAGGGCAGUAAGUUAAUACCUUGCUGUUCUGACGUUACCAACAGAAUAAGCACCGGCUAACUUCGUGCCAGCAGCCGCGGUAAUACGAAGGGUGCAAGCGUUAAUCGGAAUUACUGGGCGUAAAGCGCGCGUAGGUGGUUCGUUAAGUUGGAUGUGAAAGCCCCGGGCUCAACCUGGGAACUGCAUCCAAAACUGGCGAGCUAGAGUAUGGCAGAGGGUGGUGGAAUUUCCUGUGUAGCGUUGAAAUGCCUAGAUAUAGGAAGGAACACCAGUGGCGAAGGCGACCACCUGGCUCGGUACUGACGCUGAGGUGCGAAAGCGUGGGGAGGAAACA
rnacentral:rRNA from 1 species